rnacentral:rRNA from 1 species
ACGAACGCUGGCGGCGUGCUUCACACAUGCAAGUCGAACGGGCUUCUGGGGUUCUGGCUUUUUUGGUUGGGGUUCUGGGGGUUAGUGGCGAACGGGUGAGUAACACGUGAGUAACCUGCCCUUCACUUCUGGAUAACCGCUUGAAAGGGUGGCUAAUACGGGAUGUUUCUGGGUCUGUCGCAUGGCGGGUUCGGGAAAGAUGGCACUGUUUGGUGUUUUUGGUGGGGGAUGGGCUCGCGGCCUAUCAGCUUGUUGGUGGGGUGAUGGCCUGCCAAGGCUUUGACGGGUAGCCGGCCUGAGAGGGUGGGCGGUCACACUGGGACUGAGAUACGGCCCAGACUCCUACGGGAGGCAGCAGUGGGGAAUAUUGCACAAUGGGCGGAAGCCUGAUGCAGCGACGUCGCGUGAGGGAUGGAGGCCUUCGGGUUGUGAACCUCUUUCGCCAGUGAGGAAGGCCUUGCCCGUGGGGUGGGGUUGACGGUAGCUGGGUUAAUUGAAGCGCCGGCUAACUACGUG